UCCUAGCAGUACAAGGGGAACUGAUUCGCAUUUAUUUUGUUUUCAGAAGAAUGUACUGGUUUCAGAAGGAUUCCUGGUUUCUAUUCCUGACUCUGUCUUGGUUAGAUGUAAGUGUCAAUUCUCAAAGGACUGCUGGAUGGGCUUGUGCUCAGAGGGAGACUUAACACCUGAGCCAGAUGAGGAAGAGGGCUUGGGAUGACUUGCUGAAUGAGAUCCUGCAAGCCAGUGCUGCAACAAACCGUGAGCACAGGGCCUGUGCUUUGAACAUUACAGACAGUUUGGAGAAGGAAACAGUGUAGAGGAGAAAGACUAGGGUGAUCAGACAGCAGGUGUGAAAAAUCAGGACAUGGGGUGGGGGCUAAUAGACAUCUGUAUAAGAAAAAGCCCCAAAUAUCAGGUCUAUCCCUAUAAAAUCGGGACAUCUGGUCUCCCUAAGGAAUAUCCAUGAGUCCCAGCAGAAAAUGAAGAGACAGAUGCACCAGGACAUAAUGGGAACAUCUCCAGCAGCAAAUACAGAAACUGCAGACUCUUGUGGACAUACAGAUUCAGCAAUCAUGGGCUCAUCUUGCUUUAUAGUCCAUGGAGAACUCCAUUUUAGCACCUCCCUAGGAUCCUCCCCCCCUCAACAUUCCAUGUGGCAGCAGGGGCCACAUCCCUACCACUCCACUCUGGGGGACAUUAAGGACAACUACAGCUUCCCAUACGCUGACCUGUGAAAGCCAGGGACGCUGUAUGUGUAGCUAAAAUGGACAUAACUGUUCUUUCCUCUUGAUAAGGUUGGCUUAGCUCAGGGGUAGGCAACCUAUGGCACGCGAGCCGAAGGCAGCACGCGAGCUGAUUUUCAGUGGC